AGUGAACGCUGGCGGUAGGCCUAACACAUGCAAGUCGAACGGCAGCACAGUAAGAGCUUGCUCUUACGGGUGGCGAGUGGCGGACGGGUGAGGAAUACAUCGGAAUCUACUUUUUCGUGGGGGAUAACGUAGGGAAACUUACGCUAAUACCGCAUACGACCUACGGGUGAAAGCAGGGGAUCUUCGGACCUUGCGCGAUUGAAUGAGCCGAUGUCGGAUUAGCUAGUUGGCGGGGUAAAGGCCCACCAAGGCGACGAUCCGUAGCCGGUCGGAGAGGAUGGUCAGCGACACUGGAAGUGAGACACGGACCAGACUCCUACGAGAGGGAGCAGUGGGGAAUGUUAGACAGCGGGGGGGAGCCUGAUCCAACCAUCCCGCGCGGGUGGAGACGGCCUUGGGGUUGUGAAGCCCUUUUGUUGGGAAAGAAAAGCAGCAGGUUAAGACGCAGCGGUUCUGACGGUACCCGAAGAAUAAGCACCGGCUAACUUCGUG
rnacentral:rRNA from 1 species